AAUCCAUAGGUUAAUGAGGCGAACCGGGGGAACUGAAACAUCUAAGUACCCCGAGGAAAAGAAAUCAACCGAGAUUCCCCCAGUAGCGGCGAGCGAACGGGGAGGAGCCCAGAGCCUGAAUCAGCAUGUGUGUUAGUGGAAGCGUCUGGAAAGGCGCGCGAUACAGGGUGACAGCCCCGUACACAAAAGCGCAUGUGCUGUGAGCUCGAUGAGUAGGGCGGGACACGUGGUAUCCUGUCUGAAUAUGGGGGGACCAUCCUCCAAGGCUAAAUACUCCUGACUGACCGAUAGUGAACCAGUACCGUGAGGGAAAGGCGAAAAGAACCCCGGCGAGGGGAGUGAAAAAGAACCUGAAACCGUGUACGUACAAGCAGUGGGAGCCCCACCACCAAAGCAUUUGCUGUACCGCGUUGACGGAGCGAAGCGACGUCAAACCGAUAAAACAGCAGUGUAAAGUGAGCCGCAGGGCGCUUUGCGCGACAGCGCAAAGGCAGGCGGUUUCG
rnacentral:rRNA from 1 species